CAUAAUCUGUUGCCACAAGAGA
rnacentral:piRNA from 1 species